GAAGUUGACCAAACAGUCGCUGUUUAGUUAAUUUUUUUAAAAAAACUAAAAAGAGGAAAGUCCGGGCUCCAUAGAGCAAGGUGCCAGAUAACACCUGGAAAGCGCAAGCUUAUGACUAGUGCAACAGAAAAAAAACCACCUAUUAGUUUUAUAAUAAAACAAAUAUGGCCAGGGUGAAAAGGUGUGGUAAGAGCACACCGCAUAAUUGGUAACAAUUAUGGCUAGGUAAACUCCACCUGGAGCAAAGCCAAAUAUAGGUUUAAGUAUAUUAUUAUAUAUAUUUACAUGUAUUGCUCGUACUAUUUUAACCUGGGUAGGCUGCUUGAAUUAGUAAGUAAUUACUAAUCUAGAUGAAUGACUGUUAAGACAGAACCCGGCUUAUAGGUCAACUUCAUUA
rnacentral:RNase_P_RNA from 1 species